AAGCUCGUAGUUGAAUUUCGGGGUUCUACCGUUGGUCGGGCUAACCAGUCUGUACUAGUGUGUAGAAUUCCUACCUUCUGGGGAACCAUCAUGUUAUUAAUUUAGCGUGGUGGGAAACCAGGACCUUUACCUUGAAAAAAUUAGAGUGUUCAAAGCAGGCUUACGUCUGAAUACAUUAGCAUGGAAUAAUAAAAUAGGACGGUGGUCCUGUUUUGUUGGUUUCUGAAUCACCGUAAUGAUUAAUAGGGAUAGUUGGG
rnacentral:rRNA from 1 species